CUACGGGGCGCUGCAGUAGGGAAUAUUGGACAAUGGGCGCAAGCCUGAUCCAGCAAUGCCGCGUGAGUGAUGAAGGCCUUAGGGUUGUAAAGCUCUUUUACCAGAGAUGAUAAUGACAGUAUCUGGGGAAUAAGCCCCGGCUAACUCCGUGCCAGCAGCCGCGGUAAUACGGAGGGGGCUAGCGUUGUUCGGAAUUACUGGGCGUAAAGCGCACGUAGGCGGCGAUUUAAGUCAGAGGUGAAAGCCCGGGGCUCAACCCCGGAACUGCCUUUGAGACUGGAUUGCUUGAAUCCGGGAGAGGUGAGUGGAAUUCCGAGUGUAGAGGUGAAAUUCGUAGAUAUUCGGAAGAACACCAGUGGCGAAGGCGGCUCACUGGACCGGCAUUGACGCUGAGGUGCGAAAGCGUGGGGAGCAAACAGGAUUAGAUACCCCAGUAGUC
rnacentral:rRNA from 1 species